rnacentral:rRNA from 1 species
GACGAACCGAGCGAACGUUAUUCGGAAUCACUGGGCUUAAAGGGUCCGCAGGUGGCUUAUCAAGUCUGCUGUUAAAGCAUGGAGCUUAACUCCAUAUCGGCAGUGGAAACUGAUGAGCUAGAGUUCGGUAGGGGUCACGGGAAUUCCCAGUGUAGCGGUGAAAUGCGUAGAUAUUGGGAAGAACACCGGCGGCGAAAGCGCGUGACUGGGCUGAGACUGACACUGAGGGACGAAAGCUAGGGGAGCGAAAGGG